rnacentral:lncRNA from 1 species
AACAGCUAUUAUCCCAUUUAAUCUUCCUAACAAUUCUCUAAUGUACUUUUUAUUAACCCAACCUUUUCAGAAGAAGAAACUAAGCCUUGACAAAAUAGUUCACGCAACCAGUAAGAGGCAGAGAUAGACUUUGAAUCCAGGCAGUCUGACUCUAGAACCAUCCCCUCUGAACACAACUGUAGGAUGGAGAACACAGUGCUAUCCUCUAGAAUUUCCUUGGAAUCCACAAAUUAGGCUAAAAAGACCAAAUCACUGGCAAUUCUAUUCUGAAAGAUUUUUUUUAAACAGGAAUCUCUUUAACAUUUUAUAUAUUCUUGAAUCCCCUGUUCUCAAUACUCCCAACUUGCUUGUGUUGAUUUCAAUACAUACUCCGAGGUGGUUGUAAUGCAGGAUCAACCCUGUGGCAACUGCCAGUUUAAUCUUCCCACUUUGGCCACAAGUCUUCCUGAGCUCAGAGGGAAUUCUCCAGGGAAAGAGAAGCAAACCCCCCACCCCUACCCCCACCAAAGGACUCAAGAGAGCAGUGAAGGAGGGGACAGCUCCUCUCUCUCCAGCUCACCUGAGUGUUUUGUGUACUGAACCUAUUUGUACUUGAGAUCCAGUGACUCAUGCAGAAAAUUGCAUAACACUUUUCAUUUAGAGCUUCAAUACUUGCCAAGGAAUCUUAGUUCUUUAAAAAUAUAUGCAUAUUUUUAUAUAUAAGUUUUAGUCCUAUUGCCUAUAACCUAGAGCUGCCAGUCUCUCUGUUUUUUAAAAAUGAAGGGCUGUUGGACUAGCACUCACAGUACAUCAAAAACUAGUGAGACAUAAUCAAUGAAAAUCAGACUUUCCCCCAUGAUUUUUUAGAAUCAAGAGGUUUUUAAGGAGUUCAAUCAGAAUACUAGUUCCAUUUUUACUAAUCCUUUCUUUCAUGUUGAUAAUAGGGGUGAGAAAGAAUGACAGACUCCCUGUUCUCAUUUCAUUACAGCAGAGUAGUAGUAUCUGUGAACACUGGGAGCCAACACAGAGACUGCCCACAGAGUCUCUAACAGCCAGCCAGACUUCCCCUCUCAUGAUAGGGCACUGAUGGACACCAGGAAGAAAUCUCUCCCAUAUUUAGGCACUGUGGGCAGUUAUUAGGUAUCUCUCUCUUGUAUCUCACCGAAGUUUUCUUAGUUGUACUUUCACCUAUUUUUCUGAAUGCUAACACCUAAAACAGGAAUAAGGGCCCAUAUUUUUGUUUUGUGUUUUUUUUUUCCAGCUCAUCAUUGAGCAGUGUGCAUCUCACACUUAAAUAUUUUGGCAACAAUAAAUGACCACUCAAGUUUUUAAACUUUAAGUUUCUGAAUUUAUCACAGACUGGUAAUAAAUGAGGUAGGAUUAAAAAAUAAAUAGGUAGAAAGGAGACAUAAAAAAAG